rnacentral:rRNA from 1 species
GGGCGUAUAUUUAGGUCUGACCUGCCCACUGAUUUUUUGAAUGGCCGCGGUAUUUUGACCGUGCAAAGGUAGCAUAAUCAUUUGUCUUUUAAUUGGAGGCUGGAAUGAAUGGUUUGACGAGGGAAUUUCUUUAUUAUUAUAAAUUUUAUAAUUUAACUUUUAAGUUAAAAGGCUUAAAUAUUUUUGAGGGACGAGAAGACCCUAUAGAACUUUACUUAUUUAUUAAUUUUGUAUUUUUGUUUUUUUUAUUUUAGGUUAUGUUGAUAAGUUUGGUUGGGGCGACCUUGGGGAUUCUUUAACCCCCGUAUUUUUUUUUCACAAAUAAGUGUUUUGAUCCAUUAUUAAUGAUUAUUAGAUUAAGUUACCUUAGGGAUAACAGCGUAAUUUAUUUGGAGAGUUCUUAUCGAUAAAUAAGAUUGCGA